ACAGUGGACGCGAGCAUCUGUGGCCAAGUUUUUAAGGGCGCACGGUGGAUGCCUUGGCACCAGGAACCGAUGAAGGACGUGGGAGGCCACGAUAGGCCCCGGGGAGUCGUCAACCAGGCUUUGAUCCGGGGGUGUCCGAAUGGGGAAACCCGGCAGUCGUCAUGGGCUGUCACCCUUGCCUGAACACAUAGGGCAAGUGGAGGGAACGCGGGGAAGUGAAACAUCUCAGUACCCGCAGGAAGAGAAAACAACCGUGAUUCCGGGAGUAGUGGCGAGCGAAACUGGAUGAGGCCAAACCGUAUGCGUGUGAGACCCGGCAGGGGUUGCGUAUACGGGGUUGUGGGAUCUCUCUUCUGUCGUCUGCCGGCGACAGGACGAGUCAGAAACCGUUGAUGUAGGCGAAGGACAUGCGAAAGGUCCGGCGUAGAGGGUAAGACCCCCGUAGCUGAAACAUCAGCGGCUCGUUUGAGAGACACCCAAGUAGCACGGGGCCCGAGAAAUCCCGUGUGAAUCUGGCGGGACCACCCGCUAAGCCUAAAUAUUCCCUGGUGACCGAUAGCGGAUAGUACCGUGAGGGAAUGGUGAAAAGUACCGCGGGAGCGGAGUGAAAUAGUACCUGAAACCGUGUGCCUACAAGCCGUGGGAGCGUCGGAUGUCAGCUUGCUGGCAUCUCGUGACUGCGUGCCUUUUGAAGAAUGAGCCUGCGAGUUUGCGGUGUGUUGCGAGGUUAACCCGGGUGGGGUAGCCGUAGCGAAAGCGAGUCCGAACAGGGCGAUCUGAGUAGCACGCUCAAGACCCGAAGCGGAGUGAUCUAGCCAUGGGCAGGUUGAAGCGGAGGUAAGACUUCGUGGAGGACCGAACCCACCAGGGUUGAAAACCUGGGGGAUGACCUGUGGUUAGGGGUGAAAGGCCAAUCAAACUCCGUGAUAGCUGGUUCUCCCCGAAAUGCAUUUAGGUGCAGCGUCGUGUGUUUCUUGCCGGAGGUAGAGCACUGGAUAGGCGAUGGGCCCUACCGGGUUACUGACCUUAGCCAAACUCCGAAUGCCGGUAAGUGAGAGCGCGGCAGUGAGACUGUGGGGGAUAAGCUCCAUGGUCGAGAGGGAAACAGCCCAGAGCAUCGACUAAGGCCCCUAAGCGUACGCUAAGUGGGAAAGGAUGUGGAGUCGCAGAGACAACCAGGAGGUUGGCUUAGAAGCAGCCACCCUUGAAAGAGUGCGUAAUAGCUCACUGGUCUAGUGAUUCCGCGCCGACAAUGUAGCGGGGCUCAAGCGUACCGCCGAAGUCGUGUCAUUNNNNNNNNNNNNNNNNNNNNNNNNNNNNNNNNNNNNNNNNNNNNNNNNNNNNNNNNNNNGUAGGUGAGUGAUGGGGUGACGCAGGAAGGUAGUCCAUCCCGGGCGGUGGUUGUCCCGGGGUAAGGGUGUAGGACGUCAGGUAGGUAAAUCCGCCUGGCAAUAGUCUGAGACCUGAUGCCGAGCCGAUUGUGGUGAAGUGGAUGAUCCUAUGCUGUCGAGAAAAGCCUCUAGCGAGUUUCAUGGCGGCCCGUACCCUAAACCGACUCAGGUGGUCUGGUAGAGAAUACCGAGGCGUUCGGGUGAACUAUGGUUAAGGAACUCGGCAAAAUGCCCCCGUAACUUCGGGAGAAGGGGGGCCACACUCGGUGAUCCGAUUUACUCGGUGAGCUGGGGGUGGCCGCAGAGACCAGCGAGAAGCGACUGUUUACUAAAAACACAGGUCCGUGCGAAGCCGUAAGGCGAUGUAUACGGACUGACGCCUGCCCGGUGCUGGAACGUUAAGGGGACCGGUUAGCUCACUUUCGGGUGGGCGAAGCUGAGAACUUAAGCGCCAGUAAACGGCGGUGGUAACUAUAACCAUCCUAAGGUAGCGAAAUUCCUUGUCGGGUAAGUUCCGACCUGCACGAAUGGCGUAACGACUUCUCGACUGUCUCAACCAUAGGCCCGGUGAAAUUGCACUACGAGUAAAGAUGCUCGUUUCGCGCAGCAGGACGGAAAGACCCCGGGACCUUUACUACAGUUUGAUAUUGGUGUUCGGUUCGGCUUGUGUAGGAUAGCUGGGAGACUGUGAAGCUCAUACGCCAGUAUGGGUGGAGUCGUCGUUGAAAUACCAGUCUGGUCGUGCUGGAUGUCUAACCCGGGUCCGUGAUCCGGAUCGGGGACAGUGUCUGAUGGGUAGUUUAACUGGGGCGGUUGCCUCCUAAAGGGUAACGGAGGCGCCCAAAGGUUCCCUCAGCCUGGUUGGCAAUCAGGUGGUGAGUGUAAGUGCACAAGGGAGCUUGACUGUGAGACCGACGGGUCGAGCAGGGACGAAAGUCGGGACUAGUGAUCCGGCGGUGGCUUGUGGAAGCGCCGUCGCUCAACGGAUAAAAGGUACCCCGGGGAUAACAGGCUGAUCUUCCCCAAGAGUCCAUAUCGACGGGAUGGUUUGGCACCUCGAUGUCGGCUCGUCGCAUCCUGGGGCUGGAGUCGGUCCCAAGGGUUGGGCUGUUCGCCCAUUAAAGCGGUACGCGAGCUGGGUUUAGAACGUCGUGAGACAGUUCGGUCCCUAUCCGCUGUGCGCGUAGGAGUCUUGAGAAGGGCUGUCCCUAGUACGAGAGGACCGGGACGGACGAACCUCUGGUGUGCCAGUUGUUCUGCCAAGGGCAUGGCUGGUUGGCUACGUUCGGGAGGGAUAACCGCUGAAAGCAUCUAAGCGGGAAGCCUGCUUCGAGAUGAGGACUCCCACCUCUAUAAGAGGGUAAGGCUCCCAGUAGACGACUGGGUUGAUAGGCCGGAUCUGGAAGCACGGUAACGUGUGGAGGUGACCGGUACUAAUAGGCCGAGGGCUUGUCCUCAGUUG
rnacentral:rRNA from 1 species